AAGGAUGUCCCAGCCGGAAAACUGAGCCAACAUAAGUAACGACUGAAAGAGGACAAGCUCCCCAUGAAGGGCUGCUCUGUAGAGCGUGACUGUCCUCAGUCCUUGGAGGGUGAAGGCAGUGGAGAAGCAGAGACCAGAUGGGAUGAAAAGAAGGAUUUGCCAGUGCGGGCUGUCAUACAUUCCUGUCAAUUAUUAGAUCUCUUCUUUGAAAGAUGAUGACAGAGUGGGUCACCUGGAAAGAUCUGCCAAACACAGUGAAGACCGCAAAUCAAAGGAACAGCAUCAGAAAGAUCAGUCUGAUAAACUAGGAUGGUUGUUCUCAAACUUUUGUAUCAGGAUCACUAGAAAGCUUGUUAAAACAAGUUCUCUGGGCCUCACCUUUGGAGUUUCUGUGUCCGUAGGUCUGGCAUGGGGACAGAAUAUCUGGAUUUCUAGGUGGUUCCCAGCUGAAAUCAAUGGAAUUUGAUUACUAUCAUCUGUAUUGAUUUUAGAAAAGCUUUUGAAAAAUCUUU